rnacentral:rRNA from 1 species
UUGCCUACGGGGGGCAGCAGUAGGGAAUAUUGGUUAAUCUGCGAAAGCGGGAACCAGCAACGCCGCGUGCACGAUGAAGGCCUUCGGGUUGUAAAGUGCUUUUUGAAAGGAUGAGGAAGGACAGUACUUUCAGAAUAAGCUUCGGCUAACUACGUGCCAGCAGCCGCGGUAAAACGUAGGAAGCGAGCGUUAUCCGGAUUUACUGGGCGUAAAGCGUGUGUAGGCGGUUUGACAAGUUGGAUGUGAAAGCUCCUGGCUUAACUGGGAGAGGUCGUUCAAAACUGUCAGACUUGAGAGUGGUAGAGGGAGGUGGAAUUCCGGGUGUAGUGGUGAAAUGCGUAGAUAUCCGGAGGAACACCAGUGGCGAAAGCGGCCUCCUGGCCCAUUUCUGACGCUCAGACACGAAAGCUAAGGUAGCAAACGGGAUUAGAUACCCCAGUAGUCA